GAGUUCCGAAAUAAUUGAUUUUUGGAAGUUUUAAUUAUUUUAUAUAAGAAAAACGUUUUUUUGUGGUUGUUGGCACAUGGGUGGCUGAUGUUUUUGACCAAAGAAGUUAUGCUAGAGUUUUCAAAACAUGUGGGUAGAAAUUUGGAAUAAAUAAUAAUAUAUUUUAUUAAUUUAGUCUCCUUUGGCGUUCUAACAUUUUCCUAUAAAUAGAGGGCUAAGUUAGAAUUGAAAAUCACACCAGAAACUAAGUUUUCUCUCUUUCUCUCUCUAUAUUAUCGANNNN
rnacentral:lncRNA from 1 species